GCCGGCGUGGCGGAACUGGCAGACGCACAGGACUUAAAAUCCUGCGGGACUUACCUCCCGUACCGGUUCGAUUCCGGUCGCCGGCAUCA
rnacentral:tRNA from 1 species